ensembl:lncRNA
GGGGAGCGAGAGACAUCCAUGGAAGGUGCUGAGCUAUCUCAGAGUUUUUGGAAGCUUCCCUGCUUUUUCCCCAUCAGUGUGUUAAAGAGGAAAUCCCCCUUACAAAUCUCCCCUCAGAGGGGCAUGUAAGGGACCAAAACCAUCUUAACCAGAGCCAGCAGCACAGGAUACCCUGUGGUACUGAACUUUGAUUCACAUACCACAAUGAAUGAAAGACGUGAUGGGAAACCUGAGCUGAAGAGAGCAGGAACGUAUGAGCAGUGCAAUUUUGGUCUUCUGGAAGUAUCAUUUCUGGGCACAUUCUGAGAAAUGCAUGUACAUCCAGACCAGGAAAGUGAAAACCUCCAAGUCUUUUCAAAGGUUGUGCUGGACUGGAAACAACGGAGAACGGUUAUCUGUGUUUCAGGAGUGAAAUUUUAGGGUAUGUAAAGCUAUUUGACCUGUUCUGAUAUGCUUAAAGAGUUUACAUAUCCUUUGGGUAUAAAGAGAUAUCUUUGACUUCUACACCUAAUUAUGGAAUACAUCAAAAAAAAAAGUCAACCAAGAAUGUAUUAUUUCUGGUUCCAUUACAUGAAAUGUAUGAUUGACAAUUGUAAAAUGUAUUUGUAAAGAAACAUGUAAUUGAUUACUGCCUCCAGGCAUGAGGAGAUUUAUGCACUAAAAGUUUCACACAGGUUUUUGCUUGACUAUUGCUGUACCAUUCAUGCAGAACAUAUGUACCUAUAAUGACAGCUUCUAGUGUACAUUCUUCUAAAAUAGUCCUGCUUUCCAAGGGUUAAAUGGUCACUGUUUCCUGAUGUUAAUAUCUUUACAUCUACAAAAUUGCAGUAAUUUAAUUUUAUAUUGUAUAUUUGCAUUUAUAAAUAAUUAUAAAUAAAUAGAAGUAAGUAUAAGUAAUUAUAACAUAACUAUAACAUGUCUAUAAUAAAUAUUAUACAUAAAUAUAUGACUUUAUACAAUAAAUAUGAUAGGUAUGAAUGUAUUAUAAAUACAUUUAAACUAAUAUUUAUAAAUAACAUCCUGCUGUUAUAUUUUUUUCUUUCAAAAAUAUUAUAUAUUAUAAAAAGAUCAAAUGUAUGCGACAGCUUCAUUUUAUGUCACCAGACAGUUCGUUAGAGGAUGAAGAUAGAAAUGGCAAUGCUCAUGAAUAGGGUUUUUUGUUUUUUUGUUUUUUGUUUUGCUUGAAUUAUGCUAAAAUCUGAUUGCUUUCAUUAUUUCUUGUCAAAACGAGUUUCUCAGUGAAGCUGUGACUGUGUGCAGUGCUCUUUGUCCUGCAAUUGGAGCCAGGAGCUUUUCUGCUGACAUCUGCUCUGAAGUUCUUAAUGUAAAUGGAAGUGUACUUUGAUUGGAUUUGCAUAUUGUAGGGCUGAUAUUAAUGGAUUUCAGACGUUGCACAGCUACAAGAACUGCAAAACCAAGAGAAUGUGUCAGCUCCAACAAUCCACCCUUGGGAUGCGAUUGGCUGCCACAGCUCUGUGUGAAUAAAAUGUUUGUUAUUUCAGCAAUGAACUCCUGGGUUUCCUGGACUUUGUUGGUAAGUAUGGGUCCUAACACUGAAGUCUGACUAUAUAAAUUGAAAUCAGGCUAUAAAAAGAACUCAAAGGACUAAAGAGAGAACACGGGAAAGCAUGCCAUCAGAAUAUUUGGAACUUUUAUUUCAAGGAGGGUGUUUGUCAUUUCAAGAAUAUUUGGUAGUUUUUUAACUGCUUAUAGAAGCUUAUCCUAUAACUUAGGGGUCUUUUUAUCUGCAAAAAUUUACAUAAUCAUAAAGUUAAUUAGCUAUUUCACACCUCUUCAAAAACAAUGGAUGUAAAAGAGCUGCAAAGAUCCCACUCUCAAUGGGAUGGCUCAGUACUCCCUCUACCCCUGUAAAGCAUGAUGUAGAGCCUGGAAAAAAAAGCUGUACAUGGUAGAAGAUUGAGGAAGUGUAUGACAGCCUGAAAGGAUGGGCAAUGGGUGACCAAACUGACACUAGAAAUGGGGCUGCACUAAUGCUUGAAGCAGGAAGCUUAAUGAUCUGAUGGAAUUUUAAGCUGAGGUGAAGAUAGGACAGGUGAAUGCAGCAAAGACGUAGAGGAGACAUGGAAAAGGUGAUUGGAGUUAUGUAUGCCAUCUGUCAAUCAUUUUGCAGUUCUGAGACACUUUUGUUUUGAGAAGAGGUUUUGAGACACUGCGGAUUUGUUAUUGCUUUAAGCCAAGUGUUUCUCACUACCUAAGUGGCUAUUAUCAAUGAUUUGCUUCCCUGAUUUAUUUCUUUUCAUUCAUAUCAUUUUCUGUUCACUUUUUGGGUUUGGUAUUUCUAUAAUAAAUUUGGUAUGAAAAAGAAGC